UACGGGAGGCAGCAGUGGGGAAUAUUGCACAAUGGGCGCAAGCCUGAUGCAGCCAUGCCGCGUGUAUGAAGAAGGCCUUCGGGUUGUAAAGUACUUUCAGUCGUGAGGAAGGUGUUAAGGUUAAUAACCUUAGCAAUUGACGUUAGCGACAGAAGAAGCACCGGCUAACUCCGUGCCAGCAGCCGCGGUAAUACGGAGGGUGCGAGCGUUAAUCGGAAUUACUGGGCGUAAAGGGCACGCAGGCGGUUAAUUAAGUUGGAUGUGAAAUCCCCGGGCUUAACCUGGGAAUGGCAUUCAAGACUGGUUAGCUAGAGUCUUGUAGAGGGGGUAGAAUUCCAUGUGUAGCGGUGAAAUGCGUAGAGAUGUGGAGGAAUACCGGGUGGCGAAAGGCGGCCCCUGGGACAAAGACUGACGCUCAUGUGCGAAAGCGUGGGGAGCAAACAGGAUUAGAUACC
rnacentral:rRNA from 1 species